rnacentral:rRNA from 1 species
UACGAAGGGGGCUAGCGUUGCUCGGAAUCACUGGGCGUAAAGCGCACGUAGGCGGAUUGUUAAGUCAGGGGUGAAAUCCUGGAGCUCAACUCCAGAACUGCCUUUGAUACUGGCAAUCUCGAGUCCGGGAGAGGUGAGUGGAACUGCGAGUGUAGAGGUGAAAUUCGUAGAUAUUCGCAAGAACACCAGUGGCGAAGGCGGCUCACUGGCCCGGUACUGACGCUGAGGUGCGAAAGCGUGGGGAGCAAACAGG